rnacentral:rRNA from 1 species
GAGUACGAUCGCAAGAUUAAAACUCAAAGGAAUUGACGGGGCCCCGCACAAGCAGCGGAGCAUGCGGCUUAAUUCGACGCAACGCGAAGAACCUUACCAAGGCUUGACAUAUACAGGAAUACGGCAGAGAUGUCGUAGCCGCAAGGUCUGUAUACAGGUGGUGCAUGGUUGUCGUCAGCUCGUGUCGUGAGAUGUUGGGUUAAGUCCCGCAACGAGCGCAACCCUCGUUCUGUGUUGCCAGCAUUUAGUUGGGGACUCACAGGAGACUGCCGGGGUUAACUCGGAGAAGGUGGGGAUGACGUCAAAUCAUCAUGCCCCUUAUGUCUUGGGCUGCACGCAUGCUACAAUGGCUGGUACAAACGGCUGCGAUACCGCAAGGUGGAGCGAAUCCGAGAAAGCCAGUCUCAGUUCGGAUUGAGGUCUGCAACUCGACCUCAUGAAGUUGGAGUUGCUAGUAAUCGUAGAUCAGCAACGCUACGGUGAAUACGUUCCCGGGGCUUGUACACACCGCCCGUCACGUCACGAAAGUCGGUAACACCCAAAGUCAGUGGCCCAACCGCAAGGGGGGAGCUGCCUAAGGUGGGAUCGGUGAUUGGGACG